UACGGAGGGUGCAAGCGUUAUCCGGAUUCACUGGGCUUAAAGGGUGCGUAGGUGGCGUGGUAAGUCGGGUGUGAAAUUUCGGAGCUUAACUCCGAAACUGCAUUCGAUACUGCCGUGCUUGAGGACUGGAGAGGAGACUGGAAUUUACGGUGUAGCAGUGAAAUGCGUAGAGAUCGUAAGGAAGACCAGUGGCGAAGGCGGGUCUCUGGACAGUUCCUGACACUGAGGCACGAAGGCCAGGGGAGCAAACGGG
rnacentral:rRNA from 1 species